UGGCUCAGAUGGUAAAGUGUCUGCCUGCAAUGCAGGAGACCCGGGUUCAAUUCCUGG
rnacentral:tRNA from 1 species